AUUACUUUGGCAGAUUAGUGCAGUAAAUUUAGAGUUUAUUAUAUAUAUUUAGUAAUAUAAGUAAUA
rnacentral:tRNA from 2 species